rnacentral:rRNA from 1 species
UACGGAGGAUGCAAGCGUUAUCCGGAUUUAUUAGGUUUAAAGGGUGCGUAGGCGGACUUGUAAGUCAGCGGUGAAAUACUACAGCUUAACUGUAGAACUGCCGUUGAUACUGUGAGUCUUGAGUAUAGUUGAGGUAGGCGGAAUGUGUAGUGUAGCGGUGAAAUGCUUAGAUAUUACACAGAACACCGAUUGCGAAGGCAGCUUACUAAGCUAUAACUGACGCUGAGGCACGAAAGCAUGGGGAGCAAACAGGAUUA